AUAUAUAAUAAGCCACCCUGAACAAGCCCGAUAUCUGAUCUGGGAAGCUAAGCAGGGUUGGGCCUGGUUAGUACUUGGAUGGGAGACCACCUAGGAAGACCAGGUGCUGUAGAUG
rnacentral:rRNA from 1 species